rnacentral:rRNA from 1 species
GAUGAACGCUGGCGGCGUGCCUAAUACAUGCAAGUCGAGCGAACAGACGAGGAGCUUGCUCCUCUGACGUUAGCGGCGGACGGGUGAGUAACACGUGGAUAACCUACCUAUAAGACUGGGAUAACUUCGGGAAACCGGAGCUAAUACCGGAUAAUAUAUUGAACCGCAUGGUUCAAUAGCGAAAGACGGUUUUGCUGUCACUUAUAGAUGGAUCCGCGCCGCAUUAGCUAGUUGGUAAGGUAACGGCUUACCAAGGCGACGAUGCGUAGCCGACCUGAGAGGGUGAUCGGCCACACGGGAACUGAGACCCGGCCCCAGCUCCUAGGGGAGGCAGAAGUAGGGAAUUUUCCCCAAGGGGCGAAAGCCUGACGGAGCAACGCCGGGGGGGUGAUGAAGGUCUUCGGAUCGUAAAACUUUUUUAUUGGGGAAAAACAAAUGUGUAAGUAACUAUGCACGUUUUGACGGUACCAAAUCAGAAAGCCACGGCUAAUUACGU